UCCCCGGUAGCUCAGUCGGUAGAGCAGCUGGCUGUUAACCAGCGGGUCACAUGUUCGAGUCAUGUCCGGGGAGCCA
rnacentral:tRNA from 4 species